CAAGUCGAGCGCGUCUUCGGACGAGCGGCGGACGGCUGAGUAACACGUUAGUAGCUACCCCCUACUCAGGGAUAACCAUUGGAAACGAUGGCUAAUACCGGAUGGUCCCGAAAGGGUAAAGAUUUUUCGGUAGGGGAGGCGCUUGCGGCCUAUCAGCUUGUUGGUGAGGUAAUAGCUCACCAAGGCUAUGACGGGUAACUGGUCUGAGAGGAUGAUCAGUCAGAGGGAAACUGAGACACGGUUCCCACUCC
rnacentral:rRNA from 1 species